rnacentral:lncRNA from 1 species
GCUGUUAAGAUACAUUUUUUUUUUAGAUUAAAAGUUUAAGUUUAUAUAAAUUAAAAUCAGGAGUCCUUGAUGUCAGGCUAGACACCGUUUGCCCCCAUGGCUGACGGAGUAUCCGGAGGGCACCUGUGGAUGGGGUUGCAACCUCUAUUGAGUGGCCUUGAUGUUGGAGGCGGCAAAAAAUUCUGAUCAUUCUCAACUAUCGGCCUUUCAGUUGUUCCAGCCGCCAUCACCGAGCACAACGGGAAGAAAACAAUUAUCCCCUUCACAGAACCUAUGCUUCUCAAUAUAAAUUUUCUGACGUACUAAGUUUUAUAAAUUCUGAUGAUAUACAAACACGUAUACC